AACGAACGCUGGCGGCAUGCCUAACACAUGCAAGUCGAACGAGACCUUCGGGUCUAGUGGCGCACGGGUGCGUAACGCGUGGGAACCUGCCCUUAGGUUCGGAAUAACUCCCCGAAAGGGGUGCUAAUACCGGAUAAUGUCUUCGGACCAAAGAUUUAUCGCCUUUGGAUGGGCCCGCGUUGGAUUAGCUAGUUGGUAGGGUAAAAGCCUACCAAGGCGACGAUCCAUAGCUGGUCUGAGAGGAUGAUCAGCCACACUGGGACUGAGACACGGCCCAGACUCCUACGGGAGGCAGCAGUGGGGAAUAUUGGACAAUGGGCGAAAGCCUGAUCCAGCAAAGCCGCGUGAGUGAUGAAGGCCUUAGGGUUGUAAAGCUCUUUUAACCGGGAUGAUAAUGACAGUACCGGGAGAAUAAGCUCCGGCUAACUCCGUG
rnacentral:rRNA from 1 species